ACGGAGGGUGCAAGCGUUAAUCGGAAUUACUGGGCGUAAAGCGCACGCAGGCGGUUUGUUAAGUCAGAUGUGAAAUCCCCGGGCUCAACCUGGGAACUGCAUCUGAUACUGGCAAGCUUGAGUCUCGUAGAGGGGGGUAGAAUUCCAGGUGUAGCGGUGAAAUGCGUAGGGAUCUGUCUUUCUUCCGUUGUCUUGUGCGGCCCCCUUUUCUUUCCCUCUCUCUCCUCUUCGUAGGUUUUUUUUUCUCCCCU
rnacentral:rRNA from 1 species